UACAGAGGGUGCGAGCGUUAAUCGGAAUUACUGGGCGUAAAGCGUGCGUAGACGGUUAUUUAAGUCGGAUGUGAAAUCCCCAGGCUCAACCUGGGAACUGCAUCCGAUACUGGAUGGCUUGAAUUCGGGAGAGGGAUGCAGAAUUCCAGGUGUAGCGGUGAAAUGCGUAGAUAUCUGGAGGAAUACCGGUGGCGAAGGCGGCAUCCUGGACCGACAUUGACGCUGAGGAGCGAAAGCUAGGGGAGCAAACGGG
rnacentral:rRNA from 1 species